rnacentral:lncRNA from 1 species
CUCCCAUAACCCCAAUUCUUCUUCACAAUUCAUUUGGGUUGUUUUUUUUUUUUGUAUCCGUAUCAGCUUUAGUUUGAUUUUACAGAUCAUAUUGUCAAGUACUAUAUCUUUAUCAGCUUUAGUUUGAUCUUGUAGAUCAUAUUGUCAAGUACUGCAUUUUUAUCAUGACAUGUUUUAUCGAAUAAUUAGCUAUUUAUGUUUAAUAGCUACUGUACUUCUACACUUGUACUAGUUUGUGAAUUUUGAAAACUUGUAUUGGUGAUUUGGAGUUGGGAUACAAUAAUAAUCAUUUGAUUAUAAAUUGAACGAUGAUAACCACAAAUUUCUAGCAAAAAUUAGACGAAAUAAUAUGUAAAAAGAGGUACCAAAUAGUAAAUAUAUAUUAAUUAUAUUAAAUAACGGAAUAUUUCAAAAAUUCAGGGCAUUUUAGGCAGUUUGGGAUGUGUAUUAAGUAUAAUAUUGAAAUGAAAAACUUGAUAGGUGGUGUAUUAAGUAAGGGUGUGUAUUAAGAUAUUAGGGGUGUGUAUUUAAAAUUUCUCCUUUUGUUUUCUAGCUUUCAUCUUCGGUUUUGAAUUAUCAUUAUUGGCUUUCCCGUACUUAUUUUUUGUAAUUCUUAUCAUAUACAGUAAUCUUCUAUUCGGUUAAACAUAUAAAUUUAAUUUAAGUUUCCUUUAAAUUACUCUACCUUGAUGAAUUGUUAGAAGGGUCAAUUACAUAGAAGUCCACUUUGAGACAUUUUAUUCUAUAGAGGUCCACCCAAAUAUUUUUACCCACAUAAGUCCACCCAAGCUUAAAUAAAGGUAUUGAAGUUCAACUAAAUUACAGACUGCCAUCCAACUAAAAAAUUAGAUUUUUCUUAUAUUUACAAAAAUGCCACUAAUGUAAAAAGUCAACGACCACUCUCUUUCCCGGAAAAG